GCUUAUGGAAGAGCAAAGAAAGGGGUUUCCUGUGAUGGAAUCUACUCCUGGUGAAGAUGCUGUGCA
rnacentral:pre_miRNA from 1 species